UUAACUUAUUUGCUUGUUUUCUCAGAGAGGCCACUUGAAUACAAAAUAGUUUUUGGCGCUCCGGCGGGCACAGCGUCACCCCCGAGGGGGGACGCCCGCCGAGGCAACACGUUAAAGGUAACGUUCACAAUGGUUUGGGAGUCUUUUCAGAACUCUGUAAUGAUCCCUCCGCUGGUUCACCAACGGAGA
rnacentral:misc_RNA from 1 species